CGUCUGAAGAGAAGAGCAUUGCUUAUAUCAAGGAAAGAAUGUGAUUUACUUCAUGCAAUGCUGCAACACACGUCAUUUCUCCUAAUUCCAGUAGCUCUGACUGUUCUAUCCACGCAGUUUUUACACCCAUUUGGCCCUGUCCAGGGAGACGAGGAGCUGCCAACCAUCGACGACGAGUCAGCUGUCCAUUACAGUUCUCUCUUCCUGUCCCCAUCAACCCGGCAGAGAGCAGAGCAGCCGUGGAAGAGGAUCAGGGGCCGUUUUCUAAAGACACAUUUGAGAUGGUACAACGUGUGACCAGAGGGGCACCCCAAGUGAUGCCUUAUGGAUGUUUGGGUGUGAAACCCUUGGUCUGCUCAAACGCCCGGGCCACCAUCGCUCCUCUCAGCAUGCUGCUGAUUGAGUCCACCUGAAGGAAAGCACAAAGGUCAACACACGACACAGCGUCUCACUGAGCCAUUGAAAGUGUGUGUAGGGAAGCAAAAAAUGCUACCUACGCAUAACCAACACCUGCUUGUUUAGCAACUCAGACACGUCUAAUGUGUGACAUUUUGUUAUGUUAUUGGUAAACAAAGCUAGAAAGAAAUGUUCUACAAUAAAAUAAGCCCCAGGAAGAAGAAAAAAAAACACACAGAAACAUAAAAUUAGCUUUUAUGUUAUUUUACUGCUGAUAGAAACUCCCGAAGCUCCUUGUGGAGAGUGUAUGUGGGUGUGUUUUUUAUUAAUAUGGGGUCCACAGCCUUUCAGGACACUAAUCAAGAUCUGUUGAAAACAGGUAGCCUAAGUCUCCUCCCUUUCCGGUCGGCUCAUGGGUCCCCGGAAGAACAAAAAAAGAAUGCAAGUCAACGGGGCUAAAAACGCUAUUAAU